rnacentral:lncRNA from 1 species
UAGACUUUAGCCGACGAAACAAUUAAGAUAUUCGUCGGCUAAAGUGUGUAAUAAAUAAUUAAAAAAUAACUAUAGCCGACGAAAUUUACUAUAUUUCGUUGGCUAAACCUUAUAAAAAUUUUAAAAAAAUAACUAUAGCCGACGAAAUAUACUAUAUUUCGUCGGCUAAACCUUAUUAAAAAACUAAAAAAAUAACUAUAGCCGACGAAUAUAGUAUUUAAAUAUCGUCAGCUAAAGUUGCUGGGUUUUGAAAAAAAAACUGCAGAAACUUUCGGCCACCUCCAAUCACGACCAAAAUUUGAUAGAAUCUUCCUCUCAACAUUUCGAACAACUUUCUAGAAGAAGUCGAAGCUCAAUUCUAAACCUAAACAGGUCAAUCGACUGAAAAUAUAAAAAUCCCCAAUUUUAAACCCUAAAAACUUCAAAUCUUCGAUUCUCUUCACACACACCGAAUCGAGCUACCAAAUUCUUGGGGAAUGUAGUACUAAUCAAACUCAACUUAUCCAUAUAUAGAACUCACCAAAUGGUGACCUAAGGAAGGAGAAAUUCGAUCGACACCGAAUCCGAACCGGCGGAGUUUUGGAGCUCGAUUUUUCCCUCACGACGGCGCCACUCGAUGCACCACCUAUCCAGCAAUGAAGUAGAGACGACGGCGAAGCUUUUGGGACAAGUGUGGCGGUCUCCGGUGGCUUGACGGCGGAGCUAGGCCGAGAAGAAAAUCUGGCAGAUAAUAGACUUCUUACCAUUCAUCUUCGCCUAUAUAAAGAACUUUAGCCGACGAAAUUCUUUAUUUCGUCGGCUAAACUCUUUUGAAAAUUUUGGUUGACCGCCAAAAAAUUUUGGUUGAAAAUUUUGAAAAUUUUUUGACUUUAGCCGACGACUUUUCAUAUAUUUUCGUCGGCUAAAGUCCUUUGAAAAUUUUUCCUCCAACUUUGGUUUACCGCCUAAAAAUUUUGAAAUUUUUUUACCUUUAGCCGACGACUUUUCAUAUAUUUUCGUCGGCUAAAGUCUAUAAAUUCACGAAAACGCUCAUAUCUCGCCCUAUAUUGCGUAGUUUGGUCAAAUCUUCCACACGAAAAACUCUCACGUAGAUGAGACGCAACCGUCUAUAUAAAAAUUUUGAGACAUUUACCUUCCGACGAUAGGGCUCCCCAUAAGGAAUAAUAACGGUAAAUAGAGUUGACCGCUACUAUCGGCAAAUAGAGUUUACCGAUUUACGUGAUUUUUGAAUCAUAGCCGUAUUUCACCAUUCUGAACACAUCUUAUUUCACGAGAUUUUUAAUAAUUUUGCUUCCUAUGUAGAGUUGGUUCACAAAGUUGUAUAACCUACUAAACAAGUUAUACAACAUUAGUAGACACGUUGUGAUUCCGAUGACUAAAAUUCACAAACCAAAAUUCGACCGUCAGAUAUGAUCAUUAUGACGAAAGAUGUCUAUGGUAAAAAAUUCAACUAGAUCUGACAAAGUUAAGGGCUCGAUCAAAACGGUCAACCAUAAUCCAUCGUCACUUAUCACACAAAAACGCUCAUAUCUCCCUCUAUAUUACGUAGUUUGGUCAAACCUUCCACACAAAAAACUCUCACGUAGAUGAGACGCAACUGGCCAUAUAAAAAUUUUGAGACAUUUACCUUCCGACGAUAGGGCUCCCCAUAAACCCGAAUAACGGUAAAUAGUAGACAUGUUGUGAUUCCGAUGACUAAAAUUCACAAACCAAAAUUCGACUGUUAGAUAUGAUCAUUAUGAUGAAAGAUGUCUAUGAUAAAAAAUUCAACUGGAUUCGACAACGUUAAGGGCUCGAUCGAAACAGUCAACUCUAAUCGAAAAUAAGAAAACUACAUUUUGAAGCCCUAAACGGACUCGGAUGGCCAAAAAAGCCUAUACAUCAUGGCAUAAGCGAUGAGUUUGACUCGUAGCGCCGUUACGCUUUCGGAAAGGUAUCACAAUAGUCAAUCAGACACCAAAUGCCAAAUCUGCAGCAUAGUGAAUAAUAAGGGUAAGUCAACUAUCGGCACCGAGACUUUACCGGAAUACUGUGAUUUUUCAACCGUAGACGUAUUUCAUCAUUCUGGUCAUAUCUUAUUUCACGACUUUUUUGCGUUUGAAGGUUUUACGUAUAGUUUUUUUUUCUCAGAUGAGUUGUUGUCUAGAUCUGCAAAUAUAAGGCACUUCAGUCGACGAAAUUAUAUUUUUUUGUCAGCUAACAUUUUAAAAAUUUCGUCGGCUAAACUUUUAAAAAUUUCGUCGGCUAAACUUUUAAAAAUUUCGUCGGCUAAACUUUUAAAAUUUCGUCGGCUAAAGUUCACAGACUAUAGCCGACGAAAAAAAUUAUUCAGCCGACGAAAUAUUAAUUUCGUCGGCUAAAGUUGACCAUAGCCGACGAAAAUUUUAAAUUAGCCGACGAAAAAAAAUUUCGUCGGGCUGGUUUUUUUAUUUUCGUCGGCUAAAGCCUUUCUUCUGGUAGUGGCAACCUUUUUCAACCCAAAAAGAAGAAUUCGAAGAUGUGAUAUUUAUAGUAACUUUAUAUUCAGUCUUUGAAAACUGGAUUGUGAGAGGAGAUGUGAAAUUGAGAGAGGAUGAAAUUUUUUUAAGGAUCAUGAGUAAUUUAUAAAGAGAGAAGACAAAAAAAAAUUUGGUUAUGACGAACAUCAAUCUCCAAUCAAGCUCUUUUAUUGCUACAAUGUGUAUUUGAAUUUGAGAGAAGAAUCAGAAAUAAAGAGUUUGAGAGAGAAGAAGAGACUGAAAAGAAGAUUUUUUCUUUGAGAAAUAAAUUAAGAAGACGCAAAGAAUGAGGAGAAGAGAGAACUUGAAUGACAAUAGGAUUCGUGGAACCCUAUAAUUGUGGUUUCAUAUUUUUAUUAUAUUAAUUACACCUAUAUAUAUAUGUAUAACAAAUGAAAAAAAAAAAAAAAGGACCCCCUUCAGCCCUGGGCCCCGGUGCCAGCGCAUUGCCAGGACCGGGCAUGAUAUUAAUGUGUUUUAUACAUUCUAAGGCAUACUUUGAUACAGUUUUGCUUUUGAAAAAAUCAGUGUUUAUCUAAAUUUUUAGAUUUUAUUGUGUUUGGUAAUUUAAAGAAAGCAAUUUUUAUUUAAAAAAAAUACAGGUUAAUGACAACAUAUUUUGCUUUCAGAAGUUGUUGUCAAUAAAUACACAGAAAAAUAAUAUUGUAUGUCUUGACAACACUUUCAAAAGUAACAUUUACCAAACAGAAAACUGUUUUAAUUCACAGCUGAUUAUAUUCACAAUAUAACAGACACAAUUUUUUUUAUAAAGUCGCAGCAAUCCCGAACUAGCCCUAAGAGUUAUAACUCUCACAAAAUAGUAGAUUUGGGGGCAAUAUAAUCUACCACUUGACUUGGCCGGCACUGUUUAAGGGCUAGUUUGAUAUUGCUGUGAUUUAAAAAAAAUUGUUGUUGUUGUACUGCGAAAAUAAUUAGCUGUGAAUUAAAACAGUUUUGUGUUUGGUAAAUAUUAGUUUUAAAAGUGUUGUCAAGAUAAAAUUUAUUAAUUUCUAGUGUUUUUAGUGACAGCUGUUUUUAAAAGCUGAAUUUUUAAAAAUUCAGGUU